rnacentral:rRNA from 1 species
UACAGAGGUCUCAAGCGUUGUACGGAUUCAUUGGGCGUAAAGGGUGCGUAGGCGGCGCGGUAAGUCGGGUGUGAAAUCUCGGAGCUUAACUCCGAAACUGCAUUCGAUACUGCCGUGCUUGAGGACUGGAGAGGAGACUGGAAUUUACGGUGUAGCGGUGAAAUGCGUAGAUAUCGUAAGGAGGACCAGUGGCGAAGGCGGGUCUCUGGACAGUUCCUGACGCUGAGGCACGAAGGCCAGGGGAGCAAACGGG